CUUGGACUAUAAGUCCACUAAAGAGCCGUUCGAGACUAGGACGUUGAUAGGUCAGGUGUGUAAGCGUUGUGAGGCGUUGAGCUAACUGAUACUAAUGACUCGAGAGGCUUAACCAUACAACCCAGAUGGGUUUUG
rnacentral:rRNA from 2 species